AUUUGUUCAGGUGAAGACACAACAACAACAACCACUGAGGACACAAAAGCAGGAGACACAACGACAACAAUCAGAGAAGCUUCAGCAGAACCACAAAGCGGGUGGAGGCUCGUCUCUGUGUCCGUUGGAUUAGCAGCACUCAUAAUAAUACUUGUAGUCGUCAACAUGUGGAUUAGAAUUAAAGAGAGGAAAACACAGACGGAAGAAAACGCUGUGCGUUAUGAUGCAGAAGAUGACACAGUGAACUAUGAAAACAUGAGACCUGCUGCUGGAGUUUGAGCAACACGUCUGCAGAUCAGAUUCAUUCAGCAUUCACAUGUUUGUUGGGAUGUGUUUGUGUUUCAGUAACUUGUCUUUAUAACAUGUGAUAACAAUAAAUAAAGACAGCGUCAUGCUACA